UACGUAGGUGGCAAGCGUUGUCCGGAAUUAUUGGGCGUAAAGAGCGUGUAGGCGGUCCGGUAAGUCGGCUGUGAAAGUCCAGGGCUCAACCCUGGGAUGCCGGUCGAUACUGCCGGACUAGAGUUCGGAAGAGGCGAGUGGAAUUCCCGGUGUAGCGGUGAAAUGCGCAGAUAUCGGGAGGAACACCUAUGGCGAAGGCAGCUCGCUGGGACGUUACUGACGCUGAGACGCGAAAGCGUGGGGAGCAAACAGG
rnacentral:rRNA from 1 species